rnacentral:ribozyme from 1 species
UGUUUGUCUUCCUUUUUGUCUUCCUUUUUUUCUUCCUGCGUUUUCCCAUUUUUAUUUUUAUGCAACGAGCAAAGGCGUGGAGAUUUUCGUUUUUUUUCGCCA